UACGUAGGGGGCUAGCGUUGUCCGGAAUCAUUGGGCGUAAAGCGCGUGUAGGCGGUCCGGUAAGUCCGCUGUGAAAGUCGAGGGCUCAACCCUCGAAUGCCGGUGGAUACUGUCGGGCUAGAGUACGGAAGAGGCGAGUGGAAUUCCUGGUGUAGCGGUGAAAUGCGCAGAUAUCAGGAGGAACACCAAUUGCGAAGGCAGCUUGCUGGGACGUUACUGACGCUGAGACGCGAAAGCGUGGGGAGCAAACAGG
rnacentral:rRNA from 1 species